rnacentral:rRNA from 1 species
UACAGAGGGGGCAAGCGUUAUUCGGAUUUACUGGGCGUAAAGGGCGCGUAGGCGGCCACCGCAAGUCGGUUGUGAAAUCUCCGGGCUUAACCCGGAAAGGUCAAUCGAUACUGCGGGGCUAGAGUGCAGAAGGGGCAACUGGAAUUCUCGGUGUAGCGGUGAAAUGCGUAGAUAUCGAGAGGAACACCUGCGGCGAAGGCGGGUUGCUGGGCUGACACUGACGCUGAAGCGCGAAAGCUAGGGGAGCGAACGGG